CAGCAGCCGCGGUAAUACAGAGGGUGCAAGCGUUAAUCGGAAUUACUGGGCGUAAAGCGCGCGUAGGUGGUUUGUUAAGUUGGAUGUGAAAUCCCCGGGCUCAACCUGGGAACUGCAUCCAAAACUGGCAAGCUAGAGUAUGGUAGAGGGUGGUGGAAUUUCCUGUGUAGCGGUGAAAUGCGUAGAUAUAGGAAGGAACACCAGUGGCGAAGGCGACCACCUGGACUGAUACUGACACUGAGGUGCGAAAGCGUGGGGAGCAAACAGGAUUAGAUACCCCCGUAGUCCCUGUCUCUUAUAU
rnacentral:rRNA from 1 species